rnacentral:lncRNA from 1 species
CAAACCUCAUUAAACAAGGUCACAUCUGCCACGAAAAUAACUUCGUUAUAUCCAAAAAGUCGUUAUAAACAUUUAUUUGUAGUAUUGUAGCUCUGACAAGACUAUUCUUCAUCUACUUCGUUAUGACCGAUAAUUCGUUGUAUCCAUGUUCAAUAUAUCAAGGCUUGAGUUUAAUUAGACAGAGUCAGC